UCUGGUCUUCCAACCAUAGGCAGGGGCCAUUUUGGUCAUCUGGUUCAGGCAGUGUUGACUGCUGCUACUCGAGAACCCAGAGUUCUCCUCCGCCAGAGAAAGAACUGGAAUCUGUGAUCGACCAACCUACAGGGCUGUGAUGCUUUCAAAGCAGACCUUGGAUGAACGUUCUCUCAUUUGCUGAUAUCUUAGUGCAGUGAUCCCUGAAGGGUGCCGUCUGAUCUCACAAUGGCAAUGUAGCUGACAUCACGACCAAGCUUGUCGCUAAACCACAUCUACUCCCACCUCAGAUGUCAUACAUGUUGAACAUGGAGAAAUCAAGUCAGUGCUGACUAGGAAACUUCCUCCCUGAUGGCUAGCUCGAAUAGUACUGGAAGGUUCUAUGUCAGCUGCUGGGAAAUUUGGACAAUGUCAUCAACACUCUUACCCAACUGUGGAUCCUGAAAUCUGCCAGUGAUCUCAGGAACUCCUAUCAGCUGUACUUGUCUACACAAGGUCAAGCUAGUCAACCUUAUAGCUUAGAGUGGAAAAGGCUUCAUCAGCCCUAGCACUUAACUGAGGAUCUAUGGCAUCUGGUAAAGAGAGAGGAGAGAGAAUCCAUUUUCUUUAAUGGUGUGGCUCUUGAGCCAUUGGAUGAACCCACACCAAGGAGUCCAUGGAAAGCACAAAUUUGAGCCAAUAGAUUAUGAUUAUUUUUUUUUUGUUUUUGUUUUGGUUUUUUCAAGACAGGGUUUCUCUGUGUAGCC